GCUCAGAAUGAACGUUAGCGGCGCGCCUGAUGCAUGCAAGUCGAACGCCCGAGUUGUCCGCAAGGAUGACAAGGGAGUGGCGAACGGCUGAGUAAUACGUAAGUGACCUACCUCUGAGUGGGGAAUAACUUGCCGAAAGGCAAGCUAAUUCCGCAUGUGCCGAUAAGCGAAUGGUUUUUCAGUAAAGCUUUCGGGUGCUUGGAGAAGGGCUUGCGCCUGAUUAGCUAGUUGGUGGGGUAACGGCCUACCAAGGCGAUGAUCAGUAGCUGGUCUGAGAGGACGACCAGCCAGACAGGGACUGAGACACGGCCCUGACUCCUACGGGAGGCAGCAGCAAGGAAUUUUGCGCAAUGGGCGAAAGCCUGACGCAGCGACGCCGCGUGGGGGAUGAAGGCCCUCGGGUUGUAAACCCCUUUUCUCGAGGAAGAAUUAUGACGGUACUCGGGGAAUAAGUCUUGGCUAACUACGUGCCAGCAGCCGCGGUAAUACGUAGGAGGCGAACGUUAUUCGGAUUUACUGGGCGUAAAGCGGGCGUAGACGGCUUCUUAAGUCGGAUGUGAAAUCUCCUGACUUAAUUGGGAGGGGACAUUCGAUACUAAGAGGCUGGAGGACGGUAGAAGAAAGUGGAACUCCCGGUGUAGCGGUGAUAUGCGUAGAUAUCGGGAGGAACACCAGUGGCGAAGGCGGCUUUUUAGGCCGUUCCUGACGUUGAGGCCCGAAAGCGUGGGGAGCGAAACGGAUUAGAUACCCGUGUAGUCCACGCCCUAAACGUUGGACACUAGGUAUAGGGGGUAUCGACCCUCUCUGUGCCGAAGCUAACGCUUUAAGUGUCCCGCCUGGGGACUACGGCCGCAAGGCUAAAACUCAAAGGAAUUGACGG
rnacentral:rRNA from 1 species